rnacentral:lncRNA from 1 species
ACAUAUUUUUUCCAAUAAGAAAAUUAAAUCAAUACUGUAAAAUAUUGUCUACAGCUAAGACAUGCCUUGAUUCACACUUGAUUUUGCAUAAAUUAUUAUUAUUUUUUUUCUGUCUUUUAUCUUUUCAGGGCUAUACCUGUGGCAUAUGGAGAUUCCCAGGGUUAGGCACUGAAUUGGAGCUGCAGCUGGCAGCCCACACCACAGCCACAGCAAUGCAAGAUCACUGAGCAAGGCCAGGGAUCAAACCCACAUCCGCAUGGAUACUAGUCGGGUUUAUUAACCACUGAGCCACAACAGGAACUCCAAUUUUGCGUAAAUUAUUUUGAUGGUCUUAGAAAAGCAAUGCCAACUAAAUGAUAAGGUUAUUUAGUCGGACUGCUAUAGGUUGAGGAGUAAACUGGAAAUGAAAUGCCAGGAAUGAUGCCUAUGGCAAAGAAAGGAAAAAUAGGAGAGGAAAAUAGGACUAAGAAAACUGUGUUUGCUUGCUACAUUUGAUGGAAGGAUCUGAAUAUAUUUAAAGAAUGAGAGGAAAAGGCAGUGAGAAGAGGAACUGAACCUAUAGGAAAGGAAAAAAAAAUGACUCAUUUAGAUUUCUUAGUUGUGAAUGAAAAUGAUUUAUAGUACAAUAACCAGUUAUAGAGUGGAUAUGGGGUGGAAUAAAUUUGUGCGUGCUGGGUGAAGAUUGAUUCUUGCAAGUUAAUGACCUCUUUGUUUGCAUGAAAUAGGAGCUCAGUCAUGCUCUGGUCAUGUCUUAGUACAUGCUAGAUGAGAACACUGGUGGAAAGGAGAAGAGUGCUAAAAUAAACACUGCAAGAAACUUGUCCUAAAGCUGUCUAGGGACAUCAAAGAUUUCAGCAUAGUUUUGAGAGCCACAUUGAUGUUAGAAACAUAUAUUUGCAAAUUGAUCAUUUCAGAAUUUGUAUGAUUUUGAUAUGUUAUCAUUUAAGGCUGAGUAGGAGGCAUGUAAGUAGACUAUUGAUGACACCAAGGGUCAUGUAUGGAAGAGGAAGGACAAAAUAAAACCAAUCUGUUGAUUAUAUUAUUAAAAAUGGGCUUGGAUCUCCCAGUUAUGGGAUUUGAUGUGGAUGGGGUAAAAAAAGGUGAAAAGGGGAGGAUCUGGUAUACAUGUAAAAGUAACUGGGGAAAGAGAUCAGAGAUUAGAAAAUAAAUGAGUCAGAGAACACUUGUACUAGGAGAAUUAGAGCAGGUGAGACUUGACAUUUGCUUCUGUCUAGCCAGUGAUUUGAAUAGAAUAAAACUCUUAAAAGAGGUUCAUGAAGAGAGUCUGUGUAUAUGUGUAUAUGAAGUGUGGUGGAUGUAAAUCUCUUAAAAUCAGGAGAAUGGCUGUGAGUGGAUGCAUCAGAGAACAUUAGAGAGAGUGGAUCCAGGUGAGAAAGCAUAUAGAGACAUCAAGUUUUAAAGUGUCAGGUUGAUGAAGUAGGUAGUAAAUUUAUAUGGAACAGUUUCAGUGGGUUCUGAGGGAAGAAGCCAGAGUAGUUAAACAGUCAAUGUGGAGCUAGAGUUACAUUUAGAAAAGUAAAAUACUCUUUGAGAAUAUGAGUUAGAUGGUGGUGGAUAGUGAGGGUACACAAAAUAGAAAAUAUUUAUUUUAUGUGUUUAUUUUUUUUGACACGGAGAGUCUCAGGCUCUAUGGAAACUGUCAAAUUGUUCCUGAUGAGAAAGUUUGAAUAUUCAGACAAAAUAGUAAAUAAUGAAGGCCAGAAUCAUCUCACAGGGAAGUAGUGGCAUUUAAAGAAAGUACAUCUCCCAAGGAGGUCUCAAGAGAAACAAAACAAAACAAAAACCAAAAACAUGAUUUUUACUACAUUAAGUAUAUUUGUACUAUCUCUUUAUACAGUGUAUUCAUAAAUAUAAUAUCACUACCUUACUUUUGGGACUUCACAUAUUUUCAUACAGCAUUAUUUACAUUGUGUUUUCUUAAUUUGGUACCUGAAUACCUUUUCUCUCCACUAAUACUGAAAAUCUAUUGGGAAACCAUUCCUGAAUAAAUCAAUAAUUUUCUAUUAUCCUAAGCACAUGUUACAGUGGCUUUACAUAUUGGAUGUUUUAUAGAUAUUUUCUAAAUUAAUUUAGUUAUCAAAAAUAAACAUUAAACAUACAUAUUUUCUUAGUAAAUUUAAGUUUCUGUGCACUGAGUAUGGACAUUAAAUGAUUGGUUUAAAAAAAUAAAAAUAUAGGAGUUCCUGUCAUGGCUCAAUGGUUAGCAAACCCCACUAGCAUCCAUGAGGAGACCGGUUCAAUCCCUGGCCUUGCUCAGUGAAUUAAGAUGCGGCGUUGCUCUGAGCCAUAGUGUAGGUCACAGAUGCACCUCAGAUCCCAUGUUGCUAUGGCUCUGCUGUAGGCUGGCAGCUACAGUUCCGAUUGGACCCCUAGCCUAGGAACCACCAUAUGCCAUGGGUGCAGCCCUAAAAAGACAAAAACACCAAAAUAAAUAAAUAAAAUAAAUAAAUAAAUAUAUAUAGAUUCACUAUGUUGGUUUCUUAUUGAAAUAACUGCCUUGGGUAAUAUCUACCUUUGUAUAAAUUAUGUAAUGUUUCUAGUAUCUUAUUUCCAUCUGUGAAAGUAGAAUCUACUAACAAAUCAUUAUAAAAUAGAUGAAAAUAUUUUAAGUAUAUGUCAGAAUACAUAUUCACAAACUUACUGAAUAGAUUUCAAUAUGUAUUUGUAAUACAUUUGAAAAGGAAAAAAAAAACUCCACAUCUAUAGUUCAGUAAAGCUCAUACCUAAAGUCUGCCCCCUUUUCUGACACUACCAUAAUUAUUUAGAUAUAUUCAGUAGCUUGAAUAUACUUUUAGAUUAUGAUAGUAAAUAAUUCUCCCACUUCAUAACAACUUAGGAUUUGUUAUAGUUAUUUGAGGAGCUAUAAAUAAUUAUAUAUCUGACAUUUAUUUCUCAGUUUACUAGAGUCUAACAUAAGCAAUAAGAAAAUGUCUGACUUUUUAAGAAGUUACUUUAGGUCUGUUAAAAAAGGUUUAUUUUUUUCUGUUUUUAAACUGAGACUUUUCCUUAAAAUAAUUUCUUCACUAUUGAAAAUUCUUCCAUCAACUCUAUCAAGAACAAAGUGUUAUAAUUACAGUGUAUCUAUGACAUGUCACAUCAAUAUAGAAUUGAUUCCUUUGAACAAACAUUGUAUUAGUGAAGUUAACAUAUUGUUAAUUUGCUUUUAAUUAUAAUAAUCACUCAAGAUCACUAUGCACCUGAAAUUUUGAUUGUCAAAUAUAAAUUGGUUCUUAUUCAUGUCAGUGAUAGCUAAUUCCAACUGCUGUUUUACACACUUUCACUUGAAAUAGUUCAUUUAGUGGUUUGAAAAUACCUAACAAAUAUUCUUUUACAGAUCAGAUCUUUGCUUUCCAAAGACCUGUAUGAGUGUGUGUGUGUGUGUGUGUGUGUGUCUAUAUAGGUAUCUCUUGCUCUUUUUUUUGACAUUUGCUUUUACUUAACUUUUUAAAAAAAUUUCAGACUCAAAUGUUUGGUUUUUAUUCAAGAUAAUGUAAAAUAAUAUAAAAAAAGAUCCAGAAGAUCUUUAUUUUUCUCCCAUAACUUCCUGCAAACAUGUUCUGUCUCUGACCUGCCCUCAGUAGGGCCAUGGACAGACCCCAUAGCCUCCCAUUCAUUUACAAUUAGACUAUUUCUCUAAGGCAGUAGCAGCUUACUUUUAGACACUCCAAUGUAAAAAUCUCCGUUUCACUUCUAAUUUCCACUUCACAGACACUUUUGGCCUAUUGAACAAAUUCCUUUCAAGAUGGUUUAGUCUAUGCCAUCUUUUGCAGGCAUCCAUUUUGCUCAUAGGAUCUUCAUUCAUUCUUCCCACACCAAAUGCAUGCUGUCCUGUACCACUGCUUCACUGCCCUUGACAUCACAAGCAACUCCAAUGAGCCCCUACUAUCUUCAUUAAUUCUCCAUGAGAGGAGAAAUCACUCAACUUCAAGUUUUUAUCUGAUCACCAUUCUUUAUGGAAAAUCCAUACCAAGCCCUCUACAAUAUCUUGUGUUCUUGACUCUUAGGUACUGUUGUGAAUUUGUGAGUUUCUACAGCUCAACAAGUAUUCAUCGUGUGUGUGUGUGUGUGUGUGUGUGUGCACGCGUGUGUGUUUGGAGUAGAGUGCAGUGGUGGGAGUAGUUACCGUGGUGAUGUUAGACUAUUGCUGAAAUUGUGGAAAACUUAUCUCUUUUCUCUACUAUUUUCCUGACACAGGAAGCAGACUGGUCAACUAUUUAUUUACUUAACAAAUUCCAAGUCUACUGUAUUCCAAGCAUUUUUCCUAGGCGUGAGAAUAUGGCAAUGAACAGAACCAAGUCAAUAUUUUUCUCCUUCAUUGGAGAUUAUCUUCUGGUUGUGAAUAACAAUAUUCAGAGGAGGUGAUUAAAGUUGUCAAGGAAAAAAUAACAUAAGGUAAGAAGGUAGACAGUGAAUUAUUGGGCAUGUACUAUAGUUGUACUAAUGAGAUGACACUGAAGCAAGGACCUGAAGAAAGUGAGUGAAAGAGCUAUCCCAAUAGAUGAGGAUUUCUUCUGAGCAUAAAGAGGGUUUCUUCUUACAAAGGCUUUACUUUUCGUGUUUAAAUAGCUGGAAGGACCUUGUGGAGCUGAAGGCAGGGAGCAAGGAGAUGAGAGGGAGUAUAACCAGAGCAGGAACAUACAUCAACGAAUGUUUAUAUGUUAAAGUGAUUGAUUGUGACAGCACAGAAUAUUUGAAAACAUUGGCAUUUUCUUUGUAAAUGCUGUAUAAUCAUUUCAAAACAAACCUUUGCAAAUUAGAAAAAAUAAACUGACAAUGGAAAAAUUUUGGCAAGCUUUUAUGUUGUAAUUUGAAGCAUUCAUCAAGUCAGUUAAAAGAGAAACGCUAUUUGUUCUUUAAUUUAAAAUAAUGCAUUUCAUUCUGUCAGCAAAGUUUUAACCAAAAGGAAUGGAAUAUAUGUAGCAGAAAAUAGCAAAUCAAUAUUAAUGAUAGCUUAUCCAAUACAAAUUGAUUUUGUAGUAAAUAAAAGCAU